GUUGGGCAUGGUGGCGUGUGCCUGUAAUCCCAGCUACUUGGGAGGCUGAGGCAGGAGAAUUGCUUGAACCCGGGAGGCAGAGGUUGCAGUGAGCCAAGAUUGCGCCACUGCACUCCAGCCUGGAUGACACAGCAAGACCCUGUCUCAA
rnacentral:SRP_RNA from 1 species